rnacentral:pre_miRNA from 1 species
UCGUGGAUAUCGCUCGCGGGCAUGAGUUUGGGCGUCACUGAAUAUCCACGACCAGUGACGCCCAAACUCAUGCCCGCGAGCCAUAUCCACGAGACU